UACGUAGGUGGCAAGCGUUGUCCGGAUUUACUGGGCGUAAAGAGCGCGCAGGCGGUCGUGCAAGUCGCGUGUGAAAGCCCCCCGGCUCAACUGGGGGAGGGGUCACGCGAUACUGCUCGACUCGAAGGCAGGAGAGGGAAGUGGAAUUCCCGGUGUAGUGGUGAAAUGCGUAGAUAUCGGGAGGAACACCAGUGGCGAAGGCGACUUCCUGGCCUGUUCUUGACGCUGAGGCGCGAAAGCUAGGGUAGCAAACGGG
rnacentral:rRNA from 1 species